CAGCCGCCGCGGUAAUACGUAGGUCCCGAGCGUUGUCCGGAUUUAUUGGGCGUAAAGGGAGCGCAGGCGGUUUAGUAAGUCUGGAGUUAAAGGCAUUGGCUCAACCAAUGUAUGCUUUGGAAACUGUUUGACUUGAGUGCAGAAGGGGAGAGUGGAAUUCCAUGUGUAGCGGAGAAAUGCGUAGAUAUAUGGAGGAACACCGGUGGCGAAAGCGGCUCUCUGGUCUGUCACUGACGCUGAGGCUCGAAAGCGUGGGUAGCGAACAGGAUUAGAUACCCGCGUAGUCCCUGUCUCUUAUACA
rnacentral:rRNA from 1 species